GUCUCCUACAGAAAGGCGCUUGAGCGGUUAAAUGACUUUCCGAUUUGGACCGUUCUCUAGCUUUUUGCCAUGUGGCGGUUCCUAAUUUCCUAGUUCCGCGAUGCUUUUGGUUUCUCAUUCAGUUACUAGCACAGGACGUGACGUUGUCACGAAUUUUUGCGAUUCUCCAUAAAGACAUUAUUGCAUGCCGUUGCGAAAGAUCAGUGGCUUUUUUAGUUCCUUUUUUUUUUCCUUCUCUUUUCGAAUCAAUCUAGGUUUUCGGGUUUCCUUUCUUUCCCUUCCAAUCAACCUAAAUUCCUGUUUCUGUGAAGUCGACGCAAAGCGCCUCAAUGGCGUACAAGUUUUGACUGGAUUGGAGUUUUCGUUUCUUCGAUUUAUCCAUGCUUCUUAGGAGACCGUUCGGUGCACCUCGAGUUUUUACUUUUCAGGAAUCCGAUCGCUCGGCAUUACUCUGAUAGCCGACGAGUUCUUCUGAGGCAUCAGAAUCUUUUCCAUUGCUGUCAUCAUUUGCUUUUUUCUUGUGCUCCCGGUGAAUUAUUAUGGUCAAGAAAUGCGUCACAAGAAAAUUCCUUCAGAAUCGCUGGAAGUUUUUACGAUUGAGAAUGUUAAAGAAGGUUCAAAGUGGCUUUGGGCUCAUUGUCUCGCAUUACACAUCAUAACCUGCUCCGCUUGUAUUCUUCUUUACUUUGAGUACAAGAGCAUUACUAAGAUGAGGCUAGAACGUAUUACCAGAUCUCCUCCAAAUCCAAGUCAUUUUACAGUUCUUAUCCGUGCUAUUCCCCGGUCUUAACAAGAAACAUACAGUGAUUCAGUGAAAAACUUUUUCACUAAGUAUCAUUCAUCAAGCUACUUGUCACACCAAAUGGUGUAUCGGUGUGGUAGAGUUCAGAAGCUGAUGAGCGAUGCAGAGAAGAUGUACUUGACUUUUGCUUCUUUUGAACAGAACUGCAAGCCAAGUUUAAUGCAAUGUGGUCUUUGUGGAGCACCUACAAGUUCUUUCACAAUCAUUUCGAGUGAGAUGGAUAAUGUUAGGGGAAAAUCUGGCUUCAUUCAUAUGGAUUUGGCUAAAAUAGAAAAGGUCACAAACCUUGGCAUGAAUUUAUUUAAAUAUAUUUGAUUUCUGGAUUAUUUAGUAUUUAUGCACAUCCAACUGUGUAAGUUAUGUUUGGAUU